UACGUAGGGUGCAAGCGUUGUCCGGAUUUAUUGGGUUUAAAGGGUGCGUAGGCGGCCCUGUAAGUCAGUGCUGAAAUAUCCCAGCUUAACUGGGAGGGUGGCAUUGAUACUGCGGGGCUAGAGUACAGAUGAGGUAGGCGGAAUUGACGGUGUAGCGGUGAAAUGCUUAGAUAUCGUCAAGAACACCUAUAGCGAAGGCAGCUUACUAGGCUGUAACUGACGCUGAGGCACGAAAGUGUGGGGAUCAAACAGG
rnacentral:rRNA from 1 species